AGUAAAGCGGCGCACGGGUGAGUAACACGUGGGUAAUCUGCCUGAAAGUUGGGGAUAAGCUCUCGAAAGGGAGUCUAAUACCGAAUGAGGUUUCCAGAAGGUAUCUUUUGGAAACGAAAGCUAGUCUCUGUUUACAAGCUAGCGCUUUCAGAUGAGCCCGCGGUCUAUUAGCUAGUUGGUAGGAUAAAAGCCCACCAAGGCUACGAUGGAUAACCGACCUGAGAGGGUGUACGGUCACACUGGGACUGAGACACGGCCCAGACUCCUACGGGAGACAGCAGUAGGGAAUAUUGCGCAAUGGCCUUAAGGCUGACGCAGCAACGCCGCGUGAGGGAUGAAAUCUUUCGGGAUGUAAACCUCUGUCAGAGGGGAAGAAACUUUUCUAGAAAAAUAUGCUAGAGAAUUGACGGUACCCUCAGAGGAAGCACCGGCCAACUUCGUGCCAGCAGCCGCGGUAAUACGUAGGGGGCGAGCGUUGCUCGGAAUUACUGGGCGUAAAGGGUCCGUAGGCGGCUCGGUAUGUCCGUCGUGAAAUCUCCUGGCCUAACUGGGAGCAGCCGACGGAAACUGCCGGGCUCGAGGGCGGGAGAGGUGCGUGGAAUUGCGGGUGUAGCGGUGAAAUGCGUAGAGAUCCGCAGGAACACCGGCGGCGAAGGCGGCGCACUGGACCGCUCCUGACGCUGAGGGACGAAAGCUGGGGGAGCAAACAGGAUUAGAUACCCUGGUAGUCCCAGCCCUAAACCAUGGUCACUGGGUGUGCCCGGCGUUCGUCGGGCGUGCCGACGCUAACGCAUUAAGUGACCCGCCUGGGGAGUACGGUCGCAAGACUGAAACUCAAAGGAAUUGACGGGGGCCCGCACAAGCGGUGGAGCAUGUGGUUCAAUUCGACGCAACGCGAAGAACCUUACCUGGGGCUUGAAGACGGCACGACCAUCCCGCGAAAGCGGGACUUCCCGCAAGGGACGUGCCC
rnacentral:rRNA from 1 species